UACAGGGGGGGCAAGCGUUGUUCGGAAUUACUGGGCGUAAAGGGCUCGUAGGCGGCCGGCUAAGUCCGACGUGAAAUCCCCAGGCUUAACCUGGGAACUGCGUCGGAUACUGGCGGGCUUGAAUCCGGGAGAGGGAUGCGGAAUUCCAGGUGUAGCGGUGAAAUGCGUAGAUAUCUGGAGGAACACCGGUGGCGAAGGCGGCAUCCUGGACCGGCAUUGACGCUGAGAAGCGAAAGCAUGGGGAGCGAACAGG
rnacentral:rRNA from 1 species